CAGGGCUUGGUCCCCAGCUUGUCCCUGUUGAGGGGUAGUGGAAACUCCCGGGCGGAGAAGUACAGGUCUUUGGGUGUGUGCCCUUGAAAGGGAGUGUGGGACUCAGUCUCUUCUUUCUCUCUUUUAGGAAGGGAGUGGUUCUGUCCUGUCACACAACCCUGCCAGGAUGUGCUGCCCUGCCAUAGCCUAAAAGCAACAGCCAACUGACUGUGGGUUGGAGCCUCUGAAACCAUGAGUGUUACCAACAUGCGAUGGUGACAAAGGGUCUGUGCGUUUAUUUCAUCCUUCAAGUCGGAUGGAUGCCAGUCCUGAACUCAAGGUUCUGUUGGCCUCACAUGCACACUCCGCUGACCUCUCCACCAAGGUCCACAGCUGGGAAGGGCUGACACCCAAGACAGGGCACUGAGGACACCACAUCCAGCACUGAUGGCGACCGGUGAGAGGGUGGUGCCGGGAGCCCCACGGCACUGCCCAGUCCUCUCCUGGGAUGGUGAAGUCUUCCUCCACCAGCACUUCCCUUGGCCGGAUGUCCUGUGCCACCACAGGCCCAAGGCA
rnacentral:lncRNA from 1 species